GAUGAACGCUGGCGGCGUGCCUAAUACAUGCAAGUCGAGCGGACAGAUCUGGUUUUUGCUCCUCUUUCGUUAUCGUCGGAUGGGUGAGUAACGCGUGACUAGCCUACCUUCUAGCCUCAGCUUACUUCUAAAAACCGGAGCUUAUGCCUGAUUAUCUAUUGAACCGCAUGGUUCAAUCUUUGAUGGCGGAUUUUCUUUUACUUGUUGAGGGUUCCGCGCCGCAUUAGCUGGUUGUUAAGGUAACGGCUUACUAAGGCAACGAUGGGUAGCCGCCGUGAGAGGGUGAUCGGCCACGCUGGAACUGAGACACGGUCCAGACUCAGACGGGAGGCAGCAGUAGGGAAUGGUAAGAAAUGGGCGAAAGCCGGACGGAGAAACGGCGAGGGAGUGAUGAAGGUCAUCGGAUAGUAAAACUCAGUUAUUAGGGAAGAACAAAUGUGUAAGUAACUAUGAACGUCGUGACGGUACUGAAUGAGAAAGCCACGGCUAACUACGUG
rnacentral:rRNA from 1 species